UACGUAGGGUGCAAGCGUUGUCCGGAAUCAUUGGGCGUAAAGGGCUCGUAGGUGGCCAACUAAGUCAGACGUGAAAUCCCUCGGCUUAACCGGGGAACUGCGUCUGAUACUGGAUGGCUUGAGUUUGGGAGAGGGAUGCGGAAUUCCAGGUGUAGCGGUGAAAUGCGUAGAUAUCUGGAGGAACACCGGUGGCGAAGGCGGCAUCCUGGACCAACACUGACACUGAGGAGCGAAAGCCAGGGGAGCAAACGGG
rnacentral:rRNA from 1 species